rnacentral:rRNA from 1 species
ACUCCUACGGGAGGCAGCAGUAGGGAAUCUUCCACAAUGGGCGCAAGCCUGAUGGAGCAACACCGCGUGAGUGAAGAAGGGUUUCGGCUCGUAAAGCUCUGUUGUUAAAGAAGAACACGUAUGAGAGUAACUGUUCAUACGUUGACGGUAUUUAACCAGAAAGUCACGGCUAACUACGUGCCAGCAGCCGCGGUAAUACGUAGGUGGCAAGCGUUAUCCGGGAUUUAUUGGGCGUAAAGAGAGUGCAGGCGGUUUUCUAAGUCUGAUGUGAAAGCCUUCGGCUUAACCGGAGAAGUGCAUCGGAAACUGGAUAACUUGAGUGCAGAAGAGGGUAGUGGAACUCCAGGUGUAGCGGUGAAAUGCGUAGAGAUCUGAAGGAAUACCAGUGGCGAAGGCGGCCCCCUGGACAAAGACUGACGCUCAGAUGCGAAAGCGUGGGGAGCAAACAGGAUUAGAUACCCUGGUAGACUGUCA